UAGAGGAAGAUAGGUAGCCUAUUAAAAUGUCAGCGGCUGUCGCGUUUGCUUAGUUGUUUUUUUUUUUAGUAUUUGUCGUCUGUACAUUUUCCGUUUGAAUUUUCUAUCAUGCAAGCCUCAGAGAUUUGGUAGAUGCUUAAUGAUGUAGAGGUUGCGUUGAAUUUUGGAUUGUUCUCUCAAGUUAGCAGGCAGGUGCACUUUUCUCUUUUACGAAGGACUUCGAGUGCACUGGGGUCAGCAUAGAUACUUGUGUGUACGUAUAUUUGUGGUUUUUGUUAUUUUUCUACUUAUAGAUGGCUAAAAUCUGAGUUUGAAAGAUGGCCACUAUAAAUUCUUAAAAAGUGGCACCGCAUUUAGCCCCCCUUCGUACCGAUUCUGUUUUCGUCUCAAGCUCUUCAUUACUACAGCGCAAGUCUACCAUUACCACACCCACACACAGAUAUUACGGCUAAUGUUUAUUAGUCAAGUUUCCAUGAGCUCACUCUUUAUUCUUUUUCUCGUUUUCUUAUACCUAGUAUGUUUUCUGACGCUUUUUGAAGUGACAGAACAAAGGAGUUUAAAUUAGAUUUGCAAACGGACGGAACUAAAUACUGUCACUUUUAUGUCUAACUUAUCGUUAACUCUGCAAAAAGAGAAUAAGAGAAAGAAAAUCAGUGGAUAGGAGUAUAUAUAGAAAUGAUUUAUUCGAGUUUUUUUUGUUUUUCAGUAGAUUUUCGCCUUCAAAGGAAUAAAUUCCAUUAAGAAAAGGUAAAAAGAAAAAUCUAUUCACUGAACUUACUGAUAGAAUUUGCAAAUGUGUCAAGUGCAUCCAGGAGAAGAUAGAGGAAAAACCUAUUAGGCAAACAAGCCUAAAACAGCCAAGACAGGAUACCCUUUCUCAAGCAUUGUUAGUUUAUGGGCUNACUAGUAAGCGAAGAAUGAUACGGGAUGAAAAAAACAUAUUAUGAGAUUUUUCAGGAUGGAUUCUUUUAGGUAUCUAUCGAAACCAUUCUGAUGAUCAAUACAGUAUUUUUGUCGCAUUCUUAUUACGGUAGUGCAGACAUUAGUUUCCAAGCGGAAGAAACUGUGUGUUCAUUUUAUGGAUUUUCGUGUUGUACGAUUUUUGUCAGUUGCCUCAACAACUACGUGCCCACAAUACUUCCGAUGCAUUCAGAUAAUUUUUGGAAACAUU
rnacentral:telomerase_RNA from 1 species